rnacentral:rRNA from 1 species
CACUAUCGUUAACUGAAUACAUAGGUUAACGAGGCGAACCGGGGGAACUGAAACAUCUAAGUACCCCGAGGAAAAGAAAUCAACCGAGAUUCCCCCAGUAGCGGCGAGCGAACGGGGAGCAGCCCAGAGUCUGAAUCAGCUUGUGUGUUAGUGGAACGGUCUGGAAAGUCCGACGGUACAGGGUGAUAGUCCCGUACACCAAAAUGCACAGGCUGUGAACUCGAAGAGUAGGGCGGGACACGUGGUAUCCUGUCUGAAUAUGGGGGGACCAUCCUCCAAGGCUAAAUACUCCUGACUGACCGAUAGUGAACCAGUACCGUGAGGGAAAGGCGAAAAGAACCCCGGCGAGGGGAGUGAAAAAGAACCUGAAACCGUGUACGUACAAGCAGUGGGAGCACCUUCGGGUGUGACUGCGUACCUUUUGUAUAAUGGGUCAGCGACUUAUAUUCUGUAGCAAGGUUAACCGUAUAGGGGAGCCGCAGGGAAACCGAGUCUUAACUGGGCGUUAAGUUGCAGGGUAUAGACCCGAAACCCGGUGAUCUAGCCAUGGGCAGGUUGAAGGUUGGGUAACACUAACUGGAGGACCGAACCGACUAAUGUUGAAAAAUUAGCGGAUGACUUGUGGCUGGGGGUGAAAGGCCAAUCAAACCGGGAGAUAGCUGGUUCUCCCCGAAAGCUAUUUAGGUAGCGCCUCGUGAAUUCAUCUUCGGGGGUAGAGCACUGUUUCGGCUAGGGGGUCAUCCCGACUUACCAACCCGAUGCAAACUACGAAUACCGAAGAAUGUUAUCACGGGAGACACACGGCGGGUGCUAACGUCCGUCGUGAAGAGGGAAACAACCCAGACCGCCAGCUAAGGUCCCAAAGUCAUGGUUAAGUGGGAAACGAUGUGGGAAGGCACAGACAGCCAGGAUGUUGGCUUAGAAGCAGCCAUCAUUUAAAGAAAGCGUAAUAGCUCACUGGUCGAGUCGGCCUGCGCGGAAGAUGUAACGGGGCUAAACCAUGCACCGAAGCUGCGGCAGCGACACUAUGUGUUGUUGGGUAGGGGAGCGUUCUGUAAGCCUGCGAAGGUGACCUGUGAGGGUUGCUGGAGGUAUCAGAAGUGCGAAUGCUGACAUAAGUAACGAUAAAGCGGGUGAAAAGCCCGCUCGCCGGAAGACCAAGGGUUCCUGUCCAACGUUAAUCGGGGCAGGGUGAGUCGACCCCUAAGGCGAGGCCGAAAGGCGUAGUCGAUGGGAAACAGGUUAAUAUUCCUGUACUUGGUGUUACUGCGAAGGGGGGACGGAGAAGGCUAUGUUAGCCGGGCGACGGUUGUCCCGGUUUAAGCAUGUAGGCUGAUUAUCCAGGCAAAUCCGGAUAAUCAAGGCUGAGGUGUGAUGACGAGGCACUACGGUGCUGAAGUAACAAAUGCCCUGCUUCCAGGAAAAGCCUCUAAGCAUCAGGUAACAUUAAAUCGUACCCCAAACCGACACAGGUGGUCAGGUAGAGAAUACCAAGGCGCUUGAGAGAACUCGGGUGAAGGAACUAGGCAAAAUGGUGCCGUAACUUCGGGAGAAGGCACGCUGGUGUGUAGGUGAAGUCCCUGCGGAUGGAGCUGAGACCAGUCGAAGAUACCAGCUGGCUGCAACUGUUUAUUAAAAACACAGCACUGUGCAAACACGAAAGUGGACGUAUACGGUGUGACGCCUGCCCGGUGCCGGAAGGUUAAUUGAUGGGGUUAUCCGUAAGGAGAAGCUCUUGAUCGAAGCCCCGGUAAACGGCGGCCGUAACUAUAACGGUCCUAAGGUAGCGAAAUUCCUUGUCGGGUAAGUUCCGACCUGCACGAAUGGCGUAAUGAUGGCCAGGCUGUCUCCACCCGAGACUCAGUGAAAUUGAACUCGCUGUGAAGAUGCAGUGUACCCGCGGCAAGACGGAAAGACCCCGUGAACCUUUACUAUAGCUUGACACUGAACAUUGAGCCUUGAUGUGUAGGAUAGGUGGGAGGCUUUGAAGCGUGGACGCCAGUCUGCGUGGAGCCAACCUUGAAAUACCACCCUUUAAUGUUUGAUGUUCUAACGUUGGCCCCUUACCGGGGUUGCGGACAGUGUCUGGUGGGUAGUUUGACUGGGGCGGUCUCCUCCCAAAGCGUAACGGAGGAGCACGAAGGUUAGCUAAUCCUGGUCGGACAUCAGGAGGUUAGUGCAAUGGCAUAAGCUAGCUUGACUGCGAGCGUGACGGCGCGAGCAGGUGCGAAAGCAGGUCAUAGUGAUCCGGUGGUUCUGAAUGGAAGGGCCAUCGCUCAACGGAUAAAAGGUACUCCGGGGAUAACAGGCUGAUACCGCCCAAGAGUUCAUAUCGACGGCGGUGUUUGGCACCUCGAUGUCGGCUCAUCACAUCCUGGGGCUGAAGUAGGUCCCAAGGGUAUGGCUGUUCGCCAUUUAAAGUGGUACGCGAGCUGGGUUUAGAACGUCGUGAGACAGUUCGGUCCCUAUCUGCCGUGGGCGCUGGAGAAUUGAGGGGGGCUGCUCCUAGUACGAGAGGACCGGAGUGGACGCAUCACUGGUGUUCGGGUUGUCAUGCCAAUGGCACUGCCCGGUAGCUAAAUGCGGAAGAGAUAAGUGCUGAAAGCAUCUAAGCACGAAACUUGCCCCGAGAUGAGUUCUCCCUGAGACUUUAAGUCUCCUGAAGGAACGUU